GCCCAAGAGAUCGGGAUAACACCUGGAAACAGAUGCUAAUACCGGAUAACAACAGAUGAUGCCUAUCAACUGUUUAAAAGAUGGUUCUGCUANUCACUCUUGGAUGGACCUGCGGUGCAUUAGCUAGUUGGUAAGGUAACGGCUUACCAAGGCGACGAUACGUAGCCGACCUGAGAGGGUGAUCGGCCACACUGGAACUGAGACACGGUCCAGACUCCUACGGGAGGCAGCAGGC
rnacentral:rRNA from 1 species